UACGUAGGGUGCGAGCGUUGUCCGGAAUUAUUGGGCGUAAAGGGCUCGUAGGCGGUUUGUCGCGUCGGUAGUGAAAUCCACUGGCUUAACUGGUGGCUUGCUUUCGAUACGGGCAGACUGGAGGUAUGCAGGGGAGAACGGAAUUCCUGGUGUAGCGGUGAAAUGCGCAGAUAUCAGGAGGAACACCGGUGGCGAAGGCGGUCUCUGGGCAUGUCCUGACGCUGAGGAGCGAAAGUGUGGGGAGCGAACAGG
rnacentral:rRNA from 1 species